GCUGAAAAAGAACAAAACCAAAAUCUAAAGGAAUCUGAACAAGAACAUUCCAGCUUGGUGCCUGUUCUGCUUCUUCUUGAUAAAUAAAGUGCCAUGGAUUAAAGUGGUAGUCACUCAGAUGUUAACAGCGACAUCAGAUGUCCUUAAUAAAGCCAGGGCAACACCAGAAAAGGAAAGGCAACAGUUGGAGACACUCCCAUUGCCCAGAAGGCAGUCCAUUUCUUCAGAGAAUCUGGAUUUUCAUUAAAAGGUAUGUAGAGACGCUAAUGAAUCCCACAUCUGCCAAACAUGAAACGGGGGUAUUUGUGUAAUCUGGGCCUCAGGACAGCUCAUACACAGAGAGAGAACAAGCACACCACAUCCUAUUGUUUAUCAGCCGCCUGCUCCCUUCAUUCUGUCAAGCUCACGUGGAUGUAUCUGUGUUUUCACUAGGUGGAGCUCUAGGAUGGCUGUUCAAAGCCUCCGCAUCAGCUGCUUCCCCAUUGUCUGAGAGACACAUUUCCUUUGUUUGACAAUUUACAAAUCAUCAGUGAAAAUGACAAUGGGAGAAGUUGAGGGAAUUAGCAAAGCAUUGGCACACGGAACCUGCUUGCAGAUUGCCAAUUGUGUGAGCACCCAUAUUUUUUCCAUUCUCCAUCCCGCCAAUUACUUUCCUAGAUAGCAAUAAUUUGAUCAUUUGUGUGUUAAAUGAUACACUCCCUUCCAAUGCUACGGUUGCCACCAGACUUGGCUGUAUUAAACUGCAAAUCAUUCUCUUCUUAAUCAGGGGUUGGAUUAAAUACUGAAUUUUUUCACUCGGCUAGCAGCAAGGGCGGGGGGAGCCUUUCCCUGGAGAGAGGUGGGGUGUCAUGGGAUUUUUUAAAAAUUGAAUGUUGAUCUGCCAAUAUGCCUAAUUAUUCUAUCAAAUCCAGUAAUUUCUACAUUACAUUUUGGAAGGGAGAUUCUCCUUAAAGAUUAUAAUCAGUGUUGCAUUGCUAGAUCUUAUUUAAUCAGUCUAAAAUCCUUUCAACCUUAUUUUGCUUUUAAUUUUAUUUUUUACAUUUUUUGUCGGGGGGGGGGAUAGCAUCAUUGUACCCCUCCUCCCACAUUCACAAGGCUGCAUGGUCAAGUAGUUUUUUAGAUGUCUAGUUCUAAUCCCCCUUUUCCAGUUUUGUUAUACUAAAUCAGUAGGGGGAAAUAAAUAAACAAACACGUGUGAGCUUUUGCU